AACAGCGCACACACCCACACUACAGAGAGAGGCGGGGGCAUUUCUUUAUCAACCAAACCAAACGCCGUCGUCGUCAGCCAUCAGUAGCCAUGAAGGUGCGUUCCUCUGUGAAGAAGAUGUGCGAGUUUUGUAAGACAGUUAAACGUCGCGGGGGUGUUUAUGUGCUUUGCACAGCCAAUCCCAAGCAUAAGCAAAGACAGGGCAUGUCAACAUUUGCAUACGAAGGCACGGUGUCUUCCAUGUACGCAGAGACUAGUGCCAAGCUGGAGAACAGCUCUGGUCACAGCAUGCAAGCAGGUCUGGCCUCUCUGAUACCCAAAAAGCAUGAACCCUCGAUGCCCUCUAUACCCUCUACGAUACUUGGAUGGAGGGUGGGCCUGGCCUCCCUGCUGUUCAACAAGGCCAAGAAGCUUUGAAAUUUGAAAUGGGACCUUAUCUCAGUUUUUAGGUUCCUUUCUUUGGUUGUGCUGCCAGAUAUAUUCAAAAUGUUAUAAGCUCCUCUUUUUCUCUUGGAUUUUAGCUUUUAAUCAGCUACUAUAUAUAAUACUUCCAUCUCUCCC